CCUACGGGUGGCUGCAGUGGGGAAUUUUGGACAAUGGGGGCAACCCUGAUCUAGCCAUGCCGCGUGAGUGAUGAAGGCCUUAGGGUUGUAAAGCUCUUUCAGCUGGGAAGAUAAUGACGGUACCAGCAGAAGAAGCCCCGGCUAACUCCGUGCCAGCAGCCGCGGUAAUACGGAGGGGGCUAGCGUUGUUCGGAAUUACUGGGCGUAAAGCGCACGUAGGCGGACCAGAAAGUUGGGGGUGAAAUCCCGGGGCUCAACCCCGGAACUGCCUUCAAAACUAUUGGUCUGGAGUUCGAGAGAGGUGAGUGGAAUACCGAGUGUAGAGGUGAAAUUCGUAGAUAUUCGGUGGAACACCAGUGGCGAAGGCGGCUCACUGGCUCGAUACUGACGCUGAGGUGCGAAAGCGUGGGGAGCGAACAGGAUUAGAUACCCUGGUAGUC
rnacentral:rRNA from 1 species